rnacentral:misc_RNA from 1 species
UGGUAAUCUAUUUUUACUUGGAUUUGUGGUUUAUUUGCUUUUUGUUCACUUGAAGUUGGAAUAGUGCCAUUCUGGCAGAUUGUAAAGUUUCCCACCUUAAAACUUAGGCCCUUCAGUUUUGGAGUUAGUCUUCUUCUGAAAAUUUUCUCAUAUUAGAUACUCUUCAUUUUAUUAGAACAAUAGCAUUGACCCGAUUUAUAGUUCAACAUCAAGGACUGUUCAUUGCUG